CUCUUCCUCCCCCAGUGUUACAUCCCCGAAACGCGGCAGCUCCGUGACUUCGUGUCUCGCCCUCCAUGCAACAGCCAGAGGUUGCAUUGCACGAUGAUCAGACACGACGAGGACCUCAUCCCUACCCCCGGGGCCUGCUACACCCUCUACCUGGAGUACCUGGGGGGCCUAGUACCUCUCCUGAAGGGCAAGAGGACCUCCAAGAUCCGGCCGGAGUUCGUCAUUUUCGAUCCUCAAGUUGACGAAGCCAUGAACAAGGAGAACGGCGACAGAUCGUGCGGAGGCGUGGGCGUGGGCGUCGGUGUGGGCGGCGUAGUGAACGGACACCCGGUUUUGAGCGAUACAUCAGACACAGAAUACGAAGAUAUGUGUGCAUCCCCGAGAUUGCAGAGACGCAGAAAACUCAAGAGAAGAAUAAGGGAACGGUUAGAGAGCGAGACAGACGAACUUGUAUAUUUGGAUACGCUUCCGGAGGUGAGUAAAAAAAAAAAAAAAAAAAAAAAAAAAAAAAAAAAAAAAAAAAAAAAUUCACGUCAGUUUUUUUUUCUUAAUGAUUCUAAAUCCCAUGAGAGAACGGGAAUAUUUAUAUUUAUACAUUUUUUUUUUUACGACGGAGAGAUAGACAAAAUGGAAGUUCAUUAUCCGGAGAUAUUAAUUAAACGAGUUCCCAUAAAUAAUAUUAAGAAUGGGAGAGUGGGAGAGCCUCAUUAGCAUGAGAUUAAGUCAUUUACAAGGAUCAGAGAAAGAGACUAGAUAAUGUAGUGUAAAGGGAAAAAUAACAAAGGA